GGGCUAAGGUUAAAUGUAUUUCCUUAUGUUCAUAUACCCCAGGCUGGGACCCUCCAAGCUAGUGCUGGAGAGCAGGUCCUCCAGACAGACAUCACUGACCAUGAUGGACUAAGGCUGCCAGCCCUGGUAGACUGCCCCAUUGACAGCCCCCUAAAGGCUGGGACCCUCCAAGCUAGUGAUAGAGAGCAAGUGCUCCAGACAGAUGUCCAUUCCACUGGCCAUGAUGGACUAAGCCUGCCAGCCCUGGUAGACUGCCUCCAGGAUAGCCCUCGAAAGGCAGAUGUCCAUUCAGCUGGCCAUGAUGGACUAAGCCUGCCAGCCCUGGAUGACUGCCUCCAGGAUAGCCCUCGAAAGGUAAGAAAAAGCUUUUAGUUCUGUUGCAAAACGUCUGGUUGUCACGGAGGCCAGUUGGUUGCAAUCUAGUAAUACGACGGGUUGAAAACCAGUUUACAACCCGAUAAUAACGCCAUUAAGACACAUGGACCACCUACUAGUUAGAACUACUAGUAUUGGAAUUCAGAUUUUAAUUCUGAUGCUAAUUCUAAGGUUAACCCUUAUGUGACAUGUCACUCAGUACCAUCAUGCCUAUGGUGAAAAAUGUGGUUUCUAUGGUGAUAUGAUUUCCCCACUGUUGUUAUUUGUCUCAGAACCUUGUACCGAAGCCCCCGCAAGGCCCCAGGCCCAGCCGAGAGGCAGAUAUAGCAAAGUCAGAAAAGAAGGCCACAGAGGUUAUCAAGGCUAGAAGGUCUAGGGAGGUUAAGUCAGGGGUGAAAAAACUAAGCCGCCAAGUAGUUGGUAUGUUGGCACUGCCUCAAACUCUAACUCAAACAACCAGUUACAGUGAGUAUUCAUCUCCACUUCCAAAAUACCUGGAUUUAUUGAUAGAAUUCUAAAGCGAUAUAUGGUGGAAGGAUCCACUAAUGUCUAUGAUCCUCUUUCUGUAGGUGUCCUACCAGCUAUCAAGAAGGGCACUAAAGUUACCCUCCAGUCCUCCAGCUCCCUCUCCGAUGACAACAAGGAGGCACUAAGUUAGUUAUUAUGUUGUUUUUACCAUCUUUUGCACCCACACAUUCCCCUUCUUUCUUUUCUCUUAUUGUCAGUAAUGGUAUUUUCAUUUUCUCUCCUCUCUUUUUCUUAUUUUUCUAUACAGUGUUUGGAGACAUGUUAUGUGUGAAGAAUUACUUUAAAUCAAAUGUCAAACUCAUUCUAUAGAAGGCCGGGUUUCUGCAGCGUUUCACUCCACCCUUGAUUGAUGAAUUAAGGUCACUAAUUAGUAAGAAUUAUUGUAUUAAAUACAUUUUGAUUUGACUAGGGGCCGUCUGCCAGGUCCUGACCACCAGGGUGGGAGACAUCCUGAACAGUACCUGCAACGACGAUUACAAGGCCAGGCUCAUCAUCCAGAAAGGUACACUUAUAACCUGUUUUGCCCAUAUCACCAGUAAUAACCAUGUAAUAACUUGUGUAAUAACCAGUGUAUUACCAUUAUAGUAAAUGUACUAGAUACUGCAUAGUGUUAUACAUGGAUGUGGCUUUGAACCAGUUCAGAAUAUGAGUGUGUUUUCUUAGGAUUGGAUUCCGGUGCCAGAGAAAGGUUCCCUGGCUCUCCGUGUUCCUCUUCACCCAAGGACGAAGAGGAGGUGGUUGUAAGUGUCAUGACUGUCUCAUACCCUAAACCCUCCACCUCAACCCAGGCAGCAUGGGCAGCUCCUGCCCAGACUCUGGACGGUUUUCUGCCCAGACCCUGCCUGGAUGAAGAAGAGNNNNNNNNNNUGAUCAUCAUCGCAAUGGCAGACCACGUGUAACAACACCUGCACAGGAUCGGUACAUCUGAACAUCACACCUGGGGACAGGUACAGAAUGGCAACAACAACUGCCCGAGUUACACCAGGAACGCACAAUCCCUCCAUCAGUGCUCAGACUGUCCGCAAUAGGCUGAGAGAGACUGGACUGAGGGCUUGAAGGCCUGUUGUAAGGCAGGUCCUCACCAGACAUCACCGGGCACAACGUCGCCUAUGGGCACAAACCCACCGACACUGGACCAGACAGGACUGGCAAAAAGUGCUCUUUAUUGACAAGUCGCGGUUUUGUCUCACUAGGGGUGAUGGUCGGAUUUGCGUUUAUCGUCGAAAGGAAUGAGCAUUACACCGAGGCCUGUACUCUGGAGCGGGAUCGAUUUGGAGGUGAAGGGUCCGUCAAGGUCUGGGACGGUGUGUCACAGCAUCGUCGGACUGAGCUUGUUGUCAUUGCUGGCAAUCUCAACGCUGUGCGUUAAAGGGAAGACUGCCUCCUCCCUCAUGUGGUACCCU
rnacentral:lncRNA from 13 species